rnacentral:sRNA from 1 species
ACCAGACCACGGACGUCUGUAAUCUCAGAGGCUUGUUUGCUGAGGGCGCCUGCGCAGCUGCGACGGCUGCUGUGUCUCCUGGAAAGGGAUUCCCGAAAGGUUUUAUUCCAAAAGGAGAGGUUGGAAGACAUAGCUCAUCUCCUGCUGUGUAUCAGCCAAGAAGGUGUGAGGUGGUGUUCCUUGGGGAUCCGCUUGCAUCUACUUGGGAUGGUUUUGAAACAUGAAUCUUUCGCUCGUCCUGGCUGCCUUUUGCUUGGGAAUAGCCUCCGCUGUUCCAAAAUUUGACCAAAAUUUGGAUACAAAGUGGUACCAGUGGAAGGCAACACACAGAAGAUUAUAUGGCGCGAAUGAAGAAGGAUGGAGGAGAGCAGUGUGGGAAAAGAAUAUGAAAAUGAUUGAACUGCACAAUGGGGAAUACAGCCAAGGGAAACAUGGCUUCACAAUGGCCAUGAAUGCUUUUGGUGACAUGACCAAUGAAGAAUUCAGGCAGAUGAUGGGUUGCUUUCGAAACCAGAAAUUCAGGAAGGGGAAAGUGUUCCGUGAGCCUCUGUUUCUUGAUCUUCCCAAAUCUGUGGAU